UAAUUAACUGCGCAUAUGACAUUCAUUAAUGCAUUAGUAUGCUUUAUCGGGCAUGAUUAAAAUUUCAUUGGGUAAAGCGGGAGGAAAGGAUCUCAGCUCACCUUUCUGCUUGAGAGGAAGAAAUCUGAAGUGAAUAAACCGAUGGAUACUUAAGGAAGAAGCAAUUUAAACAUGUUAUUCAAGGAGACUUCAUUAUCAUUUAAUCCAUGACUACUGAACAUAAGUGUAUCUCUGUUAGUUGUCGGACUGAUGAAGCGCGGACCAGCAUGACACGGACCGUUGCCGGUAGUUCCUCCGAAGCCCGUUUUGAAGAAAUAAAUGUGAACACGGCAUCCAACAGUUCUGGAAAUUCCCACUCAGCUAGUCAGUGGCUGAGACAGGUCACUUCUACAACCACUGAUUGGUUGAGCAAGAUUCACUCCAUCUAGAGAUGAAAGCAGGAAGUGCUACUCAGCAGGAACCAUGCACCAAUAAAGCAAAAGCGGAUAGGACUGAGGCAAGCUCCCCAUGAAUUAAGGAUCACCAUCCAUAUUGCUAAUAACGGGCUAAAUGAAUUGAGAAGCACUUGUAUCUUGAGGUCUUUCCAUCAUUGUCCUAAGAGAUCGUUUGGGGGGAAAAACUGUCCUCGGAGGAAGGGACACCUCUGACUACAGGGACUAAAGGGAAAGAAGACAACAAAACAAAUGCACAUUGCAAAGACUAAGCUGGAAAAUGAGUUUUAUUAAUCACACUUUACUUUGUUAGUUUAAGCUGUGUGCAGAUACAAAGUGCACCCAAGGCAGCCCGAAAAUUGUGCAGUCUUCAGCCAGUGAGUCUUACAGAUGCAUAUUGAAAAGAUCACCCACAUCCCACACAUAUUUAGGGGAAUUACAGUUUCAGGAAAAUAAUUAGAUUUGUUAUAUAAUGAAA